rnacentral:ribozyme from 1 species
AGCGGGGCUUUUCAGCACCGCUUCUCUAAUGCGGCCGUGGUUUUCCAUGCCCGUCACAAGCCGGGAAAACGCAGAGUGGAGA